GUCUUCGUAGCUCAGCUGGUAGAGCGUGCGUUGUACAAAAGCGUAGGCGGCGUUCAUGUGUGGAUUCAAAUCCCACCGAGGCUA
rnacentral:tRNA from 1 species